rnacentral:misc_RNA from 1 species
GGAAGGAUCAUUAACAAAUCGGUUAUAGGACGCAAGUCCUAUAUACACCCCAAAGGCCUAACAGCAGGAGAUCACGGUUGUGGUGGAAUGCUGGGGGGGCCUUUUGGUUGCAGUCCGCGAGGGCUGUAGGCACGGGUCUGCUUUGCGGCGGCCUAGCCACAUAGACGCUUGUAUGGUUUGACAGAGUAUAGUUGGAUUUAAAAAAUACAACUUUUAACAAUGGAUCUCUUGGCUCUUGCAACGAUGAAGAACGCAGUGAAAUGCGAAAAGUAAUGCGAUUUGCAUGAAUCUGUGAGUCAUCAAGUCUUUGAACGCACCUUGCACCAUGUGAGCAAUUGCAUGGUAUACCUGUUUGAGAAUCGUAAAAACCUCUUUCCACCGCAAGGUGGGAGAUUUGUCGGUUGUGCCCCUCACGGCGGUACUCUGAUCAAAAGCAGUAGGUCCGGAUCAGGCUAGUGGCCUGGGACAUUGUGUGCUAGAGACGUUGGCCUUGUGCCUGCAGUCUUCUCACAGUGCGUCCUAGGCCAUCAAGCUAACCUGGUCAAUCGGGUCUGUACAGUGAGUGAGCCUUAGCCUAACAGCUGGUGCUCAUGACCAACCCCACACUUUUGAUCUCAAAUCAGGUAAGGCUACCCGCUGAACUUAAGCAUAUCAGUAAGCGGAGGAAAAGAAACUAACAAGGAUUCCCCUAGUAACGGCGAGCGAAGCGGGAAGAGCUCAAAUUUAAAAUCUGGUAGGCCUGGCCUAUCCGAAUUGUAGUUUAAAGAGGUGUUAUCUGGUCAGUGCUCGGGACUCAAGUCCCUUGGAAUAGGGCGUCACAGAGGGUGAGAACCCCGUCUGGGCCCCGAGUACUGGUCUCUAUGAGGCACUCUCUACGAGUCGGGUUGUUUGGGAAUGCAGCUCAAAAUGGGUGGUAAAUUUCAUCUAAGGCUAAAUACUGGCAAGAGACCGAUAGCGAACAAGUACCGUGAGGGAAAGAUGAAAAGCACCUUGAAAAGGGAGUUAAAUAGUGCGUGAAAUUGUUAAAAGGGAAACGAUUGAGACCAGUAUUGUUGGUGCUGUUCAGCAGCGGAUUGGUGCAAGCCCGUCUGCUGUGCAUUCAGUAGCGACGAGUCAGCGUCAGUUUGGGUUUCCGGAGAGAGGCUGGGGGAAGAUGGGGUCGGCCGGCCUUUACAGCAAGGGAUAGAUGUAUGGUCAAGCAGGUAGUUCCAGGAUGCUGACGAAAUGGUCUUAAACGACCCGUCUUGAAACACGGACCAAGGAGUCCAACAUAUAUGCGAGUAUUUGGGUGGCAAACCCGGGUGCGUAAUAAAAGUGAUUUGGAUGAGAGCGUGUCCCUCGGGGUGCGUGCAUCAUCGACCGAACCUUGAUGUCUUCUGAUAGGUUUGAGUAAGAGCAUAUCUGUUGGGACCCGAAAGGUAGUGAACUAUGCCUGGAUAGGAUGAAGCCAGAGGAAACUCUGGUGGAGGUCCGUAGCCGUUCUGACGUGCAAAUCGAUGGUCAAAUCUGGGUAUAGGGGCGAAAGACUAAUCGAACUACCUAGUAGCUGGUUCCCUC